rnacentral:rRNA from 1 species
GACGAACGCUGGCGGCGUGCCUAACACAUGCAAGUCGAGCGAGUGAAUUUCCUUCGGGAUUGAAGCUAGCGGCGGACGGGUGAGUAACACGUGGGCAACCUGCCUCAUAGAGGGGAAUAGCCUUUCGAAAGGAAGAUUAAUACCGCAUAAGAUUGUAGCUUCGCAUGAAGUAGCAAUUAAAGGAGUAAUCCGCUAUGAGAUGGGCCCGCGGCGCAUUAGCUAGUUGGUGAGGUAACGGCUCACCAAGGCGACGAUGCGUAGCCGACCUGAGAGGGUGAUCGGCCACAUUAGGACUGAGACACGGCCCAGACUCCUACGGGAGGCAGCAGUGGGGAAUAUUGCACAAUGGGGGAAACCCUGAUGCAGCAACGCCGCGUGAGUGAUGACGGCCUUCGGGUUGUAAAGCUCUGUCUUCAGGGACGAUAAUGACGGUACCUGAGGAGGAAGCCACGGCUAACUACGUGCCAGCCGCCGCAGUAA